rnacentral:lncRNA from 1 species
AUGAGGUUGGCUAACUUUGCACUUGAAAUCGAUGUCCCCCUUCUAUUCCCGGUGCGGCUGUGGAGUAAGGGAGCCUCGCAAGAUAGGACCAUUGUGUGGAUGAGGAGGCUGGAUGGCCACAGAAAGGUUCAUGUUGCACAUCUGGUGGACUCUCCAGUGCCCUCUGCUGAGGUCCCAAGAGAGGCGAUGACCCCCAGGGUGGGCCCUCAGCCUGGCACCAGGCCAGCUGGCUUUCUAGUGAGGAAGGCUGGGGCCAGGCAGCGUGGGCCUGUCAGGCGCAUCACCACGAUCUGCUGGGGGCAAAAGCAAUGAGGAAACGAGAAGGGCUCAGGGGUUGGUGGAGAGAGACUGAGAAUCCUCUGAAUGGGUAAGUCAUCGAUUGAUUCACUUUAACCAGCUUUGAUCCAGCGCCUACUCCAUAGGCACAGCCCAGGCACCGGGAACACUCCCUGGCCACAAGCCACUCACGGCAGGUGCACAUAAGACAAACGCGAAGCAAGUUGGACCAUCCCGUACUAAGUCCAUUUUAAAGCACCACAAAAUCGGGUCUGGGAGAGAUCGUCCCUUGUGGAGUGUCUCAUCCAUCUGCUCCGGGGUUCGAGUGCAGGAAGGACUCAGCUCUGGGGACAUUCCACCUCCCUUCCGGAAGGAAUCCAGCAGAGCUGAGACGUUCAGGUGUGCCGAGCAAGCGCUCCGCUCUCUGCUUUUUAAACCGUGACGAGUCACCAGACAGUCCAAGAUGUGGGAGGUGUGAAGAGUGAAUCAAACUCUCCAGGAAUCCUGGCUUAAGAGAGCCACGACUCCAUGUGGAGACUGGAGGGAGCCUCAGCCAGGCUGUGAGCUGAACUUCUUCGGACAGAAAUGCCAGGGCAGCUGGCUGGGCAAUUCCUUCUACUUCCUUCAUUUCUCUUUAUCUCUAUUAAACUAAAUUGUUAGGAGAGGCUAACAGCCUCGGGACUUGAGUUCAUUUUUUUAAUCGGUGACCACAAUAUUACUUUAGAAUUAUCCUGUUUAUCAUAAAACCUUAAUUUUAAAUUCUUACAGCGGGUGUCCUGGUGAAGGGGAUACAGGCAUAUCGGUGAUAUCACAAAUCUUUUGAAGUCAUUAAGUACAAAACAACUUCUGAAGGGUUCCAUGAGGAGAGCUCCCUGUGAAACCCAUCACAAGCUAAAGAGUGUUUCUGAUGCUAAGCUGUAUAUAUUAACCCUUCAUCCAUACUUAGAAGAAUUUGGUGGCUCAUUUCUUCUUGUUUUUUAAAAAGUAACUCAAAGACCCUGGGCAAGUCACUUAACCCCCAUGGCCUAACCCUUAC